UCUGGCCUCCACCAUCGUGGAUUGUGACGGGUGUUGCAACUAGGUGAACUAGCUGUUUAGACAGUUUUCGCAUUUUGGAAGACGCUGAAGACGCGCAUGCAGGUGGCAGAUGGGUCCUUUUUGUGUUUGAAUUAGCGAGGGCUACUUUUUGUUCUUGUGAUGCUGUGCAUAUUUGCUGAAUUCUAUGUUCUGUUGGUGCUGCUUGUCUUAUGUAAGAUGGUGUUUUUGGGAGUGACUUUGUAUAUCUAUUGUAUGUAAUAGCACAUGAGUAUUUAUAACUGGUUUGCUGAUUUUCGUUUUCUCUA